CUUGGUAGCAAUUGGUAACAAUUGGCAUUUAAUUGGACAGCGCAAUGUACGGUGUUGCUAUUACUUCUUUGUGACAGUAUUUUGGUAAAACUAUUGACCGCAUAACUUCUGGUACUAACGAAAAAAAAUCAAACUUGACAUUUCUUAUGACAAUCUGAAAUUUUUUCACUAUCCUCGAUUUGUGGAAAAUGAAUUUCCUAGCCGGGAAUCUAUCGAAAUACAGUAAAGCGAUAUUUAAGACUACACCAACUCGAGAAGGAAUUCAAUUUCUUACAAUAAAAUAUCCGAAACCAGCAGUAAAGAAAUACCAACCACCUCCAGUAACACAACCGAGGAAACAGCUAAAACGACUCGUAACGGGCCACAUGAGAGUGGAAGCAGGAUAUGACCAAGGUGCAAGAAUUUUAAGUUAUUUUCAGUAUUAAUAAAAUGUAACCGAGGUU